GACGAACCGUGCGAACGUUGUUCGGAAUCACUGGGCUUAAAGGGCGCGUAGGCGGCUUGCCAAGUCAGGGGUGAAAUCUUGCGGCUUAACCGUAAUAAGCCUUUGAUACUGGCAGGCUCGAGGGAGGUAGGGGCAUGUGGAACUUCUGGUGGAGCGGUGAAAUGCGUUGAUAUCAGAAGAAACGCCGGUGGCGAAAGCGACGUGCUGGAUCUCUUCUGACGCUGAGGCGCGAAAGCUAGGGUAGCGAACGGG
rnacentral:rRNA from 1 species